rnacentral:rRNA from 1 species
AUUGAACGCUGGCGGCAGGCCUAACACAUGCAAGUCGAGCGGGGUUUUCGGACCUAGCGGCGGACGGGUGAGUAACGCGUAGGAAGCUGCCCGAUAGAGGGGGAUACCAGUUGGAAACGACUGUUAAUACCGCAUAAUGUCUACGGACCAAAGUGUGGGACCUUCGGGCCACAUGCUAUCGGAUGCGCCUACGUGGGAUU